GAUGAACGCUAGCUACAGGCUUAACACAUGCAAGUCGAGGGACCGGCGCACGGGUGAGUAACACGUAUCCAACCUGCCCUUUACUCGGGGAUAGCCUUUCGAAAGAAAGAUUAAUACCCGAUAUAAAGGAUGGGGAUGCGUUCCAUUAGGUUGUUGGUGAGGUACCGGCCCACCAACCCUUCGAUGGAUAGGGGUUCUGAGAGGAAGGUCCCCCACAUUGGAAUGGAGACACGGUCCAAACUCGUACGGGAGGCAGGAGUGAGGAAUAUUGGUCAAUGGGCGCUAGCCUGACCCAGCCAAGUAGCGUGAAGGAUGAAGGCUUAUGGGUCGUAAACUUCGUUUAUAUAAGAAUAUGUAUUAUAUGAAUAAGGAUCGGCUAACGCCGUGCCAGCCGCCGCGGUAAUUC
rnacentral:rRNA from 1 species